UCCCCAUAUUCAUAUAAAUUAAAAAGAGCCAUGUUUUUGUUAAACAGGCGGAGAAAAAUUUUUGCCGAGUUCCUUAGAAAUAGAUUUACAAAACAUACAUUCUUUUCAAUAAAAAUUUUACUAGAAGCAGCCA
rnacentral:sRNA from 1 species